rnacentral:rRNA from 1 species
UACGAAGGGGGCUAGCGUUGUUCGGAAUUACUGGGCGUAAAGCGCACGUAGGCGGAUUCUUAAGUCUGGGGUGAAAGCCCGGAGCUCAACUCCGGAACUGCCUUGGAUACUGGGAGUCUGGAGGAUGGAAGAGGUCAGUGGAAUGCCGAGUGUAGAGGUGAAAUUCGUAGAUAUUCGGAGGAACACCAGUGGCGAAGGCGGCUUACUGGUCCAUUUCUGACGCUGAGGUGCGAAAGCGUGGGGAGCAAACAGG